CCCCAGCCCUUUUAUUUACUCAUCUGCUGAGGGACAUGGUUCCUUCGGUUUGAGAUGUUGUGAUUAAUGCUGCUGUGAACACAGAUGCACAAAUAUGUAAGGUCCUGCUUUCAGUUCUUUAGGGCAUAUACCCGGGCCUGGGAUUCCUGGGUCAUACAAUAAUUCUAUUUUUACUUUUUUGAGGAAUGAUGUGUGGUUGUUCAUAGAAGUUGGACCAUUUCAUAUUUGCACUAGUAGUGCACGAAGGCUCUCAUACCUGCAUGUCCUCACCAGCUCUUAGUAUUUUGUUUUUUGAAUAGUAGCCAUCACAAUGGAUGUGCAGUGAUAUUACAUUAUAGUUUUUGCUUCAUAUAUCAUCAUAGUCUGUCAUUAUAUGUGUGUGUGUGUGUGUGUGUGUAUAUAUAUUCUAUAUUCUUGCUGUUCUGAAUCCUUUAUUAGUGUACCAUGUCCUGGUUGUACUUGUAAUGUUUUUUCUUUUCUUUCUUUCUUUUUUGGCAUUUGGCACUGUGCUGGGGAUUCGACCCAGGGGUGUUCAACUACUGAGCUACAUCCCCAGCCCUUUUUAUUUUAUUGUUUUGAGACAGAGUCUCACUAAAUCACUGAGGAUGGCUUUGAACUUGUGAUCCUCCUGUCCCAGCCUCCUAAGUCACUGUGUCCCAGGUGUGUGCCAUUACACCUAGCUUUUGUAAUCCUUUUUGAUUCAAAGUCUGACCUAGCGCUGGGGAUGUAGCUCAAUAGUAGAGUGCGUCCCUGGCAUGUGGGUUCCAUCCUCAGUACCUGGGGCAAAAAAAAAGAAAGAAAGGAACCAAUCCCCUUUUGUCUGAUAUUCUUCUAGCUCUCCCUGUUUGCUGGGGUACCAUUUGCAUGGAUAUAUUUUCCCAUCUCUUCACUUUCAGUCUGUGUCUUUGGAUCUGAAGUGACUCUCCUCUGGAUGGCAUUGUUGGAUUAUGCACUCUUGCUUAUUCUGCCAGUAUCUGUGUUUUGAUAGUAGCAUUUAUUCCAAAAUGCAUUAGUCUCUUAAAUUAUGUAGGAAAAAGAUAUGAGUUGAAACCAAAGUUACAAUAGCAUCAGCUUUUAGGCUAAUUGUUUUCUAAAGGUGAAUAGGCUCUUAAACCACGUAGAAAGCAAACAUUGGGGUUAUAAACCUCUGUCACAGACAGUUGUGGUUUUUUUUAACAUUUUUUUAAAUUGUAUUUGGC
rnacentral:lncRNA from 1 species